GGGAGGGGUGGGUGUGGUUGAGGGUUGGUUGUUGUUGAUGAACUGAUUUUUUUUUUGUUUACAUGUAUUAUCUUAAUUCAUGCAUGUUUAAAAUAAUUUCACACUGUCAUGUUGUUUUUAAUAAUCUUGUGCAAAGCGAUAUAUGAUAUCUAUUGUUUUCAUGCUAAUAAUAGGCUAUUUAUAGACAAAAUUAUGUUUCCAUGGCAACC
rnacentral:lncRNA from 1 species